AAUCAAGGAGGAGGUGAUUAUUUGGUUGUUCAAAAGUAUAAGACAGCCGAUAUGGAAAAAGUAGAGUCAAAAGAGAGAUGGAAAACUAGUACAUUUAACGCAAAAAUUAUACUCAACGAAAAAGAUAAAGCUGACAAUGCAAUAAUAUUAGCAUUUAAUAACUUACAAGAUUUGAUGAUGGAUAAAUUUAUGUGUAAUGAUGAUAAACAAAUUGAAUAUUAUCAAUAAUAAGACUACACAUUUAUUCUAUUUUAAUUUACAUGUUGUAUCACACUUAAAUAAAGUUAUAUGUAUUUGGCAAUUGUGUUAUAUAAAAAAAUGAUGAUAUUAUUAUGUAUAAUCAAAUUAAUAAACAAAUAGCUAUGAUACAUUAAUUAUUAUAUUUUUGAAAUAAAAAGACGAAUCAUUAUGAAA